GCGCGAAAACUUUACAAUGCACGAAAGUGUGAUAAGGGAAUCCUAAGUGCUCAGGCAUUGCCUGGGCUUUUGCCAUAUGUAAAUAGUAUGGCGAAUAAGUAGUGGGUAAGACCGGUGCCAGCCGCCGCGGUAACACCGGCGCUACAAGUGGCAAUCGCGUUUAUUGGGCCUAAAGCGUCCGUAGCAGGUUUUGUAAAUUUCUUGUGAAACUGCCAAGCUUAACUUGGCAAUGUGCAGGGAACACUGCAAGACUUGAGACCGGGAAGGGUCGGAGGUAUUCCUGAGGGAGCGGUAAAAUGCUAUAAUCUUAGGAGGACCACCGGUGGCGAAGGCGUCCGACUAGAACGGAUCUGACUGUGAGGGACGAAAGCCAGGGGAGCAAACCGG
rnacentral:rRNA from 1 species